CUCUCUAAUGUUCUCCUCUCUGUUCUCCUCUCUGUAAGGUUCUCCUCUCUCUAAUGUUCUCCUCUCUAUAAUGUUCUCCUCUCUGUUCUCCUCUCUGUAAGGUUCUCCUCUCUCUAAUGUUCUCCUCUCUCUAAUGUUCUCCUCUCUGUUCUCCUCUCUCUAAUGUUCUCCUCUCUCUAAUGUUCUCCUCUCUGUUCUCCUCUCUCUAAUGUUCUCCUCUCUCUAAUGUUCUCCUCUCUGUUCUCCUCUCUCUAAUGGUUUCCUCUCUGUUCUCCUCUCUGUAAGGUUCUCCUCUCUCUAAUGUUCUCCUCUCUGUUCUCCUCUCUGUAAGGUUCUCCUCUCUCUAAUGUUCUCCUCUCUGUUCUCCUCUCUGUAAGGCUCUCCUCUCUGUAAUGUUCUCCUCUCUAUAAUGCUUUCCUCUCGUUAAUGGCCAUACAGCUUGAUCUCCUGUUCAGAAGGUCAACUUGUGAGUAAUGAUCUGUUGCUUCGCUGCUCGUCCAUUUUCCCUUGAUGGCGCUGACCAUAACUCAUCUGUCUCUCUCUCUCUCUCAUGCAACUGCAGCGAUUAUUGGAGGAUUUAUUUUAGUCUGGCCAGCACCGGACACAUGCAGCAGUGUUAUACCUCUCUUUUGGAUGAGGGUGACAUAUGGCUGGUGGACAUGGGAUCCAGAGUGACAGCUUCCUGUUUACAAGCUGCCCAGAGACUUCUGUAGUAGCAGGGGGUGUGUUAGAGAGACACUGCUUGGGCUGUUUUGAAGAGAACAGGGGACCUUGGGUACGACACAAUCUUGUUCCUUUUGGAUCUGGAGCAGAUCGAUAUGUCAGCCAUAACUCCGUUCUACCGCACCCGUGCGUAGAUGGACAAUGGAGGAUCCAUUGUUUUAUAACCCACUUAUCUGGACCAGAGUCCUGGCCUCUACCACCUUUGUGGGCCAGGCUUGUAAGAGUUGAGUUCACUAAGUUGGGUGACCUGCAAGAAGAGGCUUGGUGGAAAUCUGCCAGCAACAUGGUGGAGGUUUUCUCCAUAAAGUCCACCAGGCUGCUGCAGCAGGUGGUGGAAGGGGUCCGUGCUGCACCACCGAGAGCUGCUGCGGAGUAGGCGGUCCGAGGAGCCACCACGCCGGACACCGAGUGACCGACCACUUACCUGAGAGGCCUAUCAGUUGUAUUUGUCCCAUACCCGAUCCCCCAACGUUCAUGAAAGAACAACUUUUGUUUGAGCACCAGAAAUCGGUCUCCCACUGUCUUAUUUUAUUAUAGAAUCACCAAACCACACAGUGGAGGGUCCAAUUAUCAAGCGUACAACAAUAUCAGUGGAAAUAUUGACUCAGGGAAGCAAAAACAGUCUGGACUCUUGUUCCGUAAUGGAAAUAGCGACAUACAGGAGCAGUUGGGUUUAAGUGCCAUGCUCAAGGGUACAGACAGAUUUUCCACCUACUCGGCUAAGGGAUUUGAACCAGUGACCACUCUAGUUAUGAGCCCAAUGCUCUUAACCACUAGUCUGCAAGGUCUUGUCUCAUUGCUGCAACUCCCCAACGGGCUCGGGAGAGGUGAACGUCGAGUCUUGUGUCCCCCGAAACAUGACCUGCCUAACCGCACUUCUUAACACGUGCCCGCUUAAACUACACCAAUGUGUGAGAGGAAACACUGUGCAACUGACGAACAUAGUCAGCCUGCAGAAACCCAGCCUGCCACAAGGAGACGCAAGAGUGCGAUGAGCCAAGUAAAAACCUCCCUGGCUAAACAUUCCCCUAACCCAGACGACGCUUGCUCAAUUGUGCAUCGCCCUGUGGGACUCCCGGUCAAGGCCGGUUGUGACAUUGGCUGGGAUUGAACACAGGUCUGAGAUAAGGCUUUUUCUUUGAAACUCUGCCUGGAAGGCCAGCAUCCUGGAAUACGAUAGAUACUCAAAGGCGUCGACUGCAUUCCUAAGGUGGAGACGAGGUUGGAAAUAGUGUGUGGGGUUGUUGCAUUUUACAGUUAUUACAUUUUACUGUUGUUAUUACAUUUUACUGUUGUUAUUACAUUUUACUGUUGUUAUUACAUUUUACUGUUGUUAUUGCAUUUUACUGUUGUUAAUACAUUUUACUGUUGUUAAUACAUUUUACUGUUGUUAAUACAUUUUACUGUUGUUAUUACAUUUUACUGUUGUUAUUGCAUUUUACUGUUGUUAAUACAUUUUACUGUUGUUAUUACAUUUUACUGUUGCUAUUGCAUUUUACUGUUGUUAAUACAUUUUACUGUUGUUAUUGCAUUUUACUGUUGUUAUUACAAUGUAUAUGGCCCUAAUGGCACCCUAUUCCCUAUAUAGUACACUGGCCCUGGUCAAAAUUUGUGCACUACAUAUAGGGAAUAGGGUGCCAUAGGGCUCUGGUCAAAAGUAGUGCACUAUAUAGGGAAUAGGGUGCCAUAGGGACCCCUGGUUCCAAUCCAUGCAACAGAUGGGAGGAAUAUGACAAUUUAAUGUGGAAUUGGCAUGAUCAACUCAAUAGUCGGUAGUAAUAUAAAUUAUUCAGUUACAGGGUUCAAAAGGUGAAAAGGAAGAACUGUACUCACUGAAAUAAAAUACAUUUUCAUGAA
rnacentral:lncRNA from 1 species